UACGGGGGGGGCAAGCGUUGUUCGGAAUUACUGGGCGUAAAGGGCUCGUAGGCGGCCAACUAAGUCGGACGUGAAAUCCCUCGGCUUAACCGGGGAACUGCAUCCGAUACUGGAGGGCUUGAGUUUGGGAGAGGGAUGCGGAAUUCCAGGUGUAGCGGUGAAAUGCGUAGAUAUCUGGAGGAACACCGGUGGCGAAGGCGGCAUUCUGGACCAUUACUGACGCUGAGGAGCGAAAGCCAGGGGAGCAAACGGG
rnacentral:rRNA from 1 species